AGUGAACGCUGGCGGUAGGCCUAACACAUGCAAGUCGAACGGCAGCACAGUAAGAGCUUGCUCUUACGGGUGGCGAGUGGCGGACGGGUGAGGCAUACAUCGGAAUCUACUUUUUCGUGGGGGAUAACGUAGGGAAACUUACGCUAAUACCGCAUACGACCUACGGGUGAAAGCAGUGGAUCUUCGGACCUUUCGCGAUUCAUUGAGCCGGUGUCGGAUUAGCUAGUUGGCGGGGUAAAGGCCCACCAAGGCGACGAUCCGUAGCUGGUCUGAGAGGAUGAUCAGCCACACUGGAACUGAGACACGGUCCAGACUCCUACGGGAGGCAGCAGUGGGGAAUAUUGGACAAUGGGCGCAAGCCUGAUCCAGCCAUACCGCGUGGGUGAAGAAGGCCUUCGGGUUGUAAAGCCCUUUUGUUGGGAAAGAAAAGCAGCAGGUUAAUACCCCGCUGUUCUGACGGUACCCAAAGAAUAAGCACCGGCUAACUUCGUG
rnacentral:rRNA from 1 species